rnacentral:rRNA from 1 species
GUCGAGGGAGGGUUGGCGUCUGGCUUGCCAGACGUUCAACUCUACCGGCGAACGGGUGAGUAACACGUGGGCAAUCUGCCCUGAAGACGGGGACAACUUCGGGAAACCGGGGCUAAUACCCGAUACCCUCCUCGGGGGGCAUCCUCUGGGGAGGAAAGGGUCCGCAAGGUCUGCUUCAGGAUGGGCCCGCGGCCUAUCAGCUAGUUGGUAGGGUCACGGCCUACCAAGGCGAUGACGGGUAGCUGGUCUGAGAGGACGAUCAGCCACACUGGGACUGAGACACGGCCCAGACUCCUACGGGAGGCAGCAGUUGGGAAUAUUGGGCAAUGGGCGCAAGCCUGACCCAGCGACACCGCGUGGGGGACGAAGGCCCUCGGGUCGUAAACCCCUGUAGGGGGGAAGAAGCCCGCGCAAGCGGGUGACGGUACCUCCAGAGGAACCCCGGCUAACUACGUGCCAGCAGCCGCGGUAAGACGUAGGGGGCGAGCGUUGUCCGGAUUUACUGGGCGUAAAGCGCGUGCAGGCGGUUUGCUAAGUCCCGUGUGAAAUCCUCCGGCUCAACUGGAGAACGCCGCGGGAUACUGGCGAGCUUGAGGGCGGUAGAGGGUGAUGGAAUUCCGGUGUAUCCGUGAAAUGCGUAGAUAUCGGGAGGAACGCAGUGGCAAGCGGUCACCUGGGCCGUCCCUGACGCUCAACGCGAAAGCUGGGGAGCAAACAGGAUUAGAUACCCGGUAGUCCCAGCCGUAACGAUGCUCACUAGGUGUUGGGGGUUCUCCUCACUGCCGCAGCUAAUGCAUAAGUGAGCGCUGGGGAUACGGCCGCAAGUUGAACUCAAAGAUUGACGGGG